ACCAUGUCGCCCCCUUUCCCUUUCUUAUCGUCUUUCCCUCGUCCUUCCAUCCUCCAUCAAUCACAAAACCUUGCACAAAUCCGUGAAAAGUCAAUAAAUCAACCAUGAAUUCAUACUUUCUAUCUUCCCCAACCGCGAAUCAUGCCGAUUUCAUUACUGUUUCAUCACACAAAUUCGAAAUCCCUAAUCUAAAACCCUAAGACUCAAAGAUGCAACUUCGAAUCUCCGGAUUUCCGUUGUGCUCUUUUAAAUUGGAGCAUGCAUGAGCAUAUCUCAGAACCUCAUCAUGAUUAUUCGAGGUCCAGAGGUCAAAUGCAAUGACUAUUGGGCAUCGGGGCUCUACCCAAUGGGUUUUUCCAUCAACAGUCACAUUCCCUCUUCUCAAGUAAAACUCUCAUUGAUUUUUCUCCUCUUCUCAUUUCUGAUUUUACUCAAUCAUGCUUGAAUCAUCUAGUAGUCAUCACUCUCCACUAGCGAGUUUAAAUCUGUUUUGAAAUCCUAAGGCUUCAAUGGCCACUAUAAAUUAGGGCUUUCAAUGCUCUCACCUAACAACAACCUACCCCUAAUACAACACAGAAAAAUGAAAGAGAAUUAAACCCUAGAUUACUCACUGAUUUCUUUUCUUCUCCGAUUUCGAGUUUGCACACUAUUCGAGUUUGAGUUCAGAGUCUUAAAAUCUAAAAACAAGAAGCUCUUUGGUUUGGUUUACUGCCCAAAAGAAGGUCAGUGAACCUCAACCUUUCUUUUGAUCAUUUAAUUAUAUAUUAUAUGUACUCUGUUAUAUCUUGUUAAAUGGUUCUAGCUCUAAUAUGUUAUUGUCAAUCAUCUCUAUAUGCUUUGCUAUCAAUUCAUAAUAGUUCAUCAACUUUAGAACUAUAAGUUCCUUAAUAUUCUGAAAUUAGAGUCAUGUACUAGUUAUUUGUUCUGGUAACCCUAAUGAAUAUAUCUUGGGAUAACUCGUAUAUUAAACUUCUGAAAGAGCUUGCAAAUGACCCCAGUUGUUGUUUUAAUCUUCUGGUUUUCUGCUCUCAUACAUGCUAUGUUAGUUUGCCUUAGUAUUUUUGGAAUGAUUCAUUUGAUAUCUGGAAUAAGUGGAUGUGAAUACAUGAUGUUAAGUAUAAGGUUGUCACUUAAUCUAAGCAUGUUAGUUUAUAAUGCUUGAACGGUCUCCUUCUUUAAUGUGUUCUUCUGUGAUUCUAUAACUUUAAAAAAUUAGGGUAAGAACCUUCUAUCACCUCCCAUAACUAUUUUAUCACAUCUGUGAACUUCACUAUAUAAGAUAAUGCCUUAACUGGAUUAAGCUCUAAGGAAACAGACGCAUUUCAGUUCUGCCUUCUGCUAUCUACAUAGUUUAAGUCGUGUCUCUAAACCUAACUGAAAUUGCAUAUGUAAUAGUUGAAUGCCAUCUUAUAGAAUCAAGUGUUGCAAAACUUCAUUAUGACAGACCGGUCUACUUAGCUUAUAACUAAGAUAUGCUUACAUAGUAUAAACUCUCACUCUUCAGGACCACUAUAAUGGCAAUAUUAGUUUAAUCCAAUGUUGUUUGGUACUCAAUCGUAUUGAAUGUUCUAGUAUUAGUUAGAAUACAACAUGUGCACAUUUUAAUGUCACCCAUUGGAAAAUUCGAACUCAUCCAUGUCUUAAAAAGAAACUGCUGCUGAUAUAUCAUGUUUGUGACUGAGUUUCCAGAACAUUGAAACAUACUAAGUUCACUGAAGCUUACCCAUAGACUUAGAAGAAGCCCUUUACAUGUCUAUCUACCCUAUGUGAAUAUAGGACUAUAUAUUUAACUCUUACCCAACCUAGAUGGAAUGAAGAUCUCUUUAGAAAUCACUAGCCAAUGUAUCUGCCUGCCCCUGUUUUCUUAAGAACUUUGAAGUGAAUUGUUAAAUUUCCCACUUUGUAAGAAGUGGAAUGUUAGUCUGUAUGUAUAUUUCCAUUAAGUAUAUAUGUGAUUAUAGUUAAUGAUCUUUCAUAAGCAUGAGCCUGCUAAAAGGAUUAUUGAGAGUAAUACACUUGAUGCCUCUUGUACUCCUUUGAACCACAUGACUUACCUAUUCUAAGUUCUUAUAUUCUUGUGUUGUUGUUUACUCAUUGUUUGCUAGAACCCAUAAUUGAUCAUGUUUGAGUGCUCUUAAGCUUGAUAAGAUUACAUGAUAGUACUACAUUCUUGCUUGAAAAUCCUUAGAUGUUUGGUGAUGCUUUGGUUUUCUGGAUAGUUAUUGAAAUAUACCUCUCCUUGUAUAUAAUCAUCACAAUGGUAUUGGAGUUUACUUUGAGUACCUAAUUAGCACCUAAACCUGCAGAGAAGAGUAAGCAUGAGUAGUUAGGGGUAUUUGGGAGUAGAAUUUAGUUCUUGGUUGAGCUACUCUCAUUGACACAAGCACUGCUCGGGGUCCUUUAGACCAUUGUGAACUUUUAAGUGCUAGGGAUCCAAAGAUUACCGUGUCCAUGGGCGAAAUUUUAUCCUAAGUCGUUAAUCUAUUGACAUUUUCUAAUCUCUUUAGGUUUAAUGUUCAAUGGAAAUAAAGUUUUUUUAUUGUAAAUUACCUUAUUAUAUGUGACUCCAUAUUACUUUCUGGAUUCUUAGUUACUGUCGAUGGCUACAACUUUAUCUUAGGCCUAAAUUGAUGUUACUUGUGUUUAUGUAUUGUAUUAGGUCAUAUAUCUAAUAACCUUCUCUAGUUUUACGCAUGUGUCUGAGUUGGGCCUGCCGAAUUCUCAAAGAACUCAAGACCAAAUUCUACCAUGAACUUGGAGGUCGUCUGAAGCUGAUGUUGUUCUCUUCAUUUUCUGCUUGGCCCAAUUUCUUUCAGGCCCGCACUAUGAGUCCAUUCCUUUCAUCUAUCGCUUUAUUAAGUUUACUAUUAUUUUCAUAUGUAUAUAACACUAAUGAUAUUUGAUUAAAUACCUUGCUUUAUUUCUUUGAGUUAUGUUAAGAACCUAGGCAAGCCCUAAAGACGUAGUUAAAGAUAAAAGAAGAAUUCUUAGUAAUGAAUAAUUCUUGUUUGAUAAUCAUUUAUAUUAUUCAGCUCUCAACUUUUACUAACGAUUUUUAUGAAGUUUUGAAACUAAGACAAAUUUGCAAAGACAACAUCUUUCCUUAAAAAAACAGGCAAAAAUAGGAGCAAACCAAAAAUGAUCUCCAAAGUUGGCUAUUUCUGUGAAUCAAACACGGCUACAAUCAAGGACUUUUAAAUGGUUUGAAUUCGUGUAUAAAUUUGAGAAUCAAUCUUCAAGGUAUAUCUAAGGCCUAUUUCGUUAAACAACCUUUAUUCACUAGAAUUAUACAAGUAGUCAUACCCUUUUAAAAGACAAAGUAUUUUAAAACUUUGCCAUAUUUUCAUAAAGCUUGCAAAUAUAAAUGGUAUAGAUAUAUUUCCAAACUUCUUUCAAAUUAUGUGAGAUUUCCUCAAAGGCUUUUAUGAGUUAUAGUUACCUUCUCUGUUAAAAUGCAUAUACUACUUUCCUUCAAAUAAUAAACUUUAAACAAGACAUAGAGUAACCUUUAAGCUUUAACUAAGUAGAAUAUAGACAUCUAAUUCCUUAAACCUAGUCUAAGUCCUAUGGAGCUACCUCAUGCAGAUUUUAAGGGGUGUCUAAAACCUUACCCUUAGAAGAACAAGAACUCUUACCCAAAAUCUCACUGAUUAGCAACCUUACAGGGAAAUGAUCUUAGAAAUUAAACAAGUACCCUAGUAUACCUUUGAAUAUUAGGUGGUGACUCUCUUUUAUCAUCAAUAAGGAAACCACUGGUUGAAUCUUAUUUUAACUCGUGCUAAAUAGAGUUCAAUAACAUGACGACUCUGUUGAGAAUUCGCACUUAGGUUCUAACCCUAGUAGACUUAGACUAGACUUGGAAUUUAGAAAUGUUUGCAUGUUGCUUUAACUGUGUUUAAUUUGCAACUAUGUGCUUACUUGCUCAUUAUGUACUUACUUGUUUGCUUCAAUAUAUUUACUAACAUCCCACUAUAUGUUAUCGCUUUAUAUAUACUGUUAUCACACUCUUUUCUAUCGAGUCUUGGCCGUACACUAUCACACACAAUGGCACGCGAGAGUUGUCUGUUAUACCCCUUUGAACCUUCUUUCAAAACUUUUUAGUUUCAGAGAAUGGCUUUGUCAGGUCAACUAACAUAACUUCUUGCAGUAUUCAAUCCAACUCAAAAUUAGGGAACACUCUACUUUAGAAAACAUAGGUCAUAUUGCAUAAACCUUAGGUGAGUCAGUCUUAGGCAUUGACACAUAAUUAGGAAAGCCACCCUAAUGUCAAUGGGUCAUGCACCCAACGACAUAAAUAUUUUUAAAAGGCGAACUAAUGAUGGUGAGACACUAAAUAUCCGAAGCAAACAUUCAUCAACCUCUUUAACUCUACUCUAUUCAAAAAUAGAAAUCAACUAGAACAUCCCUGAAAUCAAUAUGGUAAUGUGAGCACUACACAAGCUAAAUAAACGGUGGAAGAACAUCUGUCAUAAGUAUGGAGACAAAAUCAGGAUGCACCUGGGAGCAUUGACUGCCCUACUAACCAUUCGGGCCGAUAGGGUACUCACUUGUUUGUUGAUAGAGUUCCGGGAUCAAGCCAAAGUGGUUUUCAUGUUUGCUGAUUGUGAGUUGGUGCCAACGUUGGAAGAAGUUACCCACCAUACAAAGCUUCCAUUUGCAGGAAGGAAGCCAAUACUA
rnacentral:lncRNA from 1 species